rnacentral:pre_miRNA from 1 species
GGCCACAGAUCUGAAGUGAAAUAGAUUAGUAUGGUCAGCUGAUCCUAGUAAUCUACUCUACUUCAAAUUUGGCCC